rnacentral:rRNA from 1 species
CAGCAGCCGCGGUAAAACGAAGGGUGCAAGCGUUAAUCGGAAUUACUGGGCGUAAAGCGUGCGUAGGCGGUUUGUUAAGUCUGUUGUGAAAUCCCCGGGCUCAACCUGGGAAUGGCAAUGGAUACUGGCAAGCUAGAGUGUGUCAGAGGAUGGUGGAAUUCCCGGUGUAGCGGUGAAAUGCGUAGAGAUCGGGAGGAACAUCAGUGGCGAAGGCGGCCAUCUGGGACAACACUGACGCUGAGGCACGAAAGCGUGGGGAGCAAACAGGAUUAGAUACCCGAGUAGUCCCUGUCUCUUAUAC